AUGUAUCGAUGAUGUUUAAAUAUUACUGCGUUAUCUAUCUGUAAAUUCCUCAACAGGAUUUGAAGAUAAUGAAAACCUACUGAGAUCUGAU
rfam:Helianthus annuus linkage group 2, whole genome shotgun sequence.